GUCGUUGCACGUUGCACUCCCCCUGUGGCCCGGGGGGUUUAGAAUACGGCCACGGUAACCCCUGCCUGUCGUAAGAGGCGACUAAAAGGGGGAUGUAAAGGAACGAGUAAGAUGAGUGGAGUUAAAAGUACAGAAAGAGUGUGAGAUUAAAAAGUACGGACAAGUAUGAGUGAAAUUAAAAGUACAGAAAUAUGUAACAUGAAUAAUGUAAAUUGAAAAUGGCGCGAUAAUGUGCUUGGUCGAUAACUUUUCGUUGGGCAAAAAGGGACAGAUGUAAAGUCCCUAAAGAACGCCACCCUCAAUAAGGCAUAUAUUCAUUUCAGUAUAUUCAGGACUCAUGUUUAACAUCAAAGUUCUUGAAGUAAUAUAAUAUAAAUUUAUACUAUUAUCGUGUAAUUUACCGACUGUCAAAGAAUCGAUUGUUCGAUAAAUCGGAUUUUCGGUAAUAUAUCAAUCUACAAAAUGAAUUAAGGAGAGACUCAUGUUUGGAAAGUAUUACAAGAUGACAAAAAAAAUGUUGCAUAAGAUUCUAUAAUCAUUUAGUAACUUUAAAUUCAUGAACGUACCAUUAAGAGACCAAAUAUGAGAAGGCAAGCUAUGGGCUGCAUAU